rnacentral:rRNA from 1 species
CUACGGGACGCUGCAGUGAGGAAUAUUGCACAAUGGGGGGAACCCUGAUGCAGCAACGCCGCGUGGAGGAUGACGCAUUUCGGUGUGUAAACUCCUUUUAUAUGUCAAGAAAAUGACGGUAGCAUAUGAAUAAGCACCGGCUAACUCCGUGCCAGCAGCCGCGGUAAUACGGAGGGUGCAAGCGUUACUCGGAGAUCACUGGGCGUAAAGGACGCGUAGGCGGGCUUGUAAGUCAGGUGUGAAAUCCUACAGCUUAACUGUAGAACUGCACUUGAAACUACGAGCCUAGAGUAUGGGAGGGGCAGAUGGAAUUAGUGGUGUAGGGGUAAAAUCCGUAGAUAUCACUAGGAAUACCUAAAGCGAAGGCGAUCUGCUGGAACAUAACUGACGCUAAGGCGUGAAAGCGUGGGGAGCAAACAGGAUUAGAUACCCCUGUAGUC